CCUACGGGUGGCAGCAGUAGGGAAUCUUUCACAAUGGGCGAAAGCCUGAUGGAGCAACGCCGCGUGCAGGAUGAAGGCCCUCAGGUUGUAAACUGCUUUUAUAAGCGAGAAAUAUGAUGGUAACUUAUGAAUAAGGAUCGGCGAACUACGUGCCAGCAGCCGCGGUCAUACGUAGGAUCCGAGCAUUAUCCGGAGUGACUGGGUGUAAAGAGUUGCGUAGGUGGCAUAGUAAGUAGAUAGUGAAAUCUGGUGGCUCAACCAUUCAGACUAUUAGCUAAACUGCUAAGCUCGAGACCGGUAGGGGUAACUGGAAUUUCUAGUGUAGGAGUGAAAUGCGUAGAUAUUAGAAGGAACACCGAUAGCGUAGGCAGGUUACUGGGACGGUUCUGACACUAAGGCACGAAAGCGUAGGGAGCAAACGGGAUUAGAUACCCUAGUAGUC
rnacentral:rRNA from 1 species